rnacentral:rRNA from 1 species
UACGAAGGGUGCAAGCGUUACUCGGAAUUACUGGGCGUAAAGCGUGCGUAGGUGGUUCGUUAAGUCUGAUGUGAAAGCCCUGGGCUCAACCUGGGAACGGCAUUGGAACUGGCGAUCUAGAGUGCGGUAGAGGGUAGUGGAAUUCCCGGUGUAGCAGUGAAAUGCGUAGAGAUCGGGAGGAACAUCUGUGGCGAAGGCGACUGCCUGGACCAGCACUGACACUGAGGCACGAAAGCGUGGGGAGCAAACAGG